AACUUGAUGAUGUGGGCAUUUACAAAGCAGGUCCCUAAAAUGCUCCCAGGUCUCAAAGAAAAGUUCCCCAUCCAUUUGUGUGAAACCUGUGAUUGCCCUCCGUGGCU